rnacentral:rRNA from 1 species
GAUGAACGCUGGCGGCGUGCCUAAUACAUGCAAGUCGAGCGAACAGACGAGGAGCUUGCUCCUCUGACGUUAGCGGCGGACGGGUGAGUAACACGUGGAUAACCUCCCUCUAUGACUGGGAUAACUUCGGGAAACCGUAGUUAAUACCGGAUAAUAUAUUUAACCGCAUGGUUCAAUAGUGAAAGACGGUUUUGCUGUCACUUAUAGAUGGAUCCGCGCCGCAUUAGCUAGUUGGUAAGGUAACGGCUUACCAAGGCGACGAUGCGUAGCCGACCUGAGAGGGCGAUCGGCAACACUGGAACGGAGACACGGUCCAGACUCCUACGGGAGGCAGCAGUAGGGAAUCUUCCGCAAUGGGCGAAAGCUUGACGGAGCAACGCCGCGUGAGUGAUGAAGGUCUUCGGAUCGUAAAACUCUGUUAGUAGGGAAGAACAAAUGUGUAAGUAACUAUGCACGUCUUGACGGUACCUAAUCAGAAAGCCACGGCUAACUACGUG